rnacentral:lncRNA from 1 species
AUGGUUAAAGUAUCAGCAACUGUUGGAAAGUUCUUCCUGGAACUGAACCAAAAUCUGCCUCUUCGCCACAUGCCUGAAUUGGCCCAAACCUCGUCCCUGGGACCGCACAGGACAGGUCACUCCAUCUGUCCCAGGUCAACCACGAGUCCUGCAAAAGGUCAUGAUCCCAUGGUGCUGGAAUCAAGUCCUACAUCAGGCUCCCUGCUCAGUGGGAAGCCUGCUUUUCCCUCUCCCACUCCCCUGCUUGUGUUCCCUCUCUUAAUGUAUCUCUGUCAAAUAAAUGUUUUUUUUUUUUUAAAGAAUAUGCUAUUUCCAAUUAUGCCUCUCUGCCCUUUCAGCAAAUGUACAACAAUGUACUUCUCAUUAACACCAGCAUGUCUGCCCACACCCUCUCCAGCCCCGGGUUUCGAUGUUUGGCCAAAUUAGACAGCAAAAGACACUCAUUUUUACUGUCUUUCCUUAAAUUUUUAGUGAAAGUAAAUGAGUAUCUUUUCAUGGGUUUUGUUGUUUGGGGGUUUUUUUGGUUUGUUUUUGUUUUUGUUUUUGGUCACUUGUAAUUAUUUUCUUUGUGAAUUGCCUGUUCGUGUCUUUUGCCCAUUUUUCUAAUUAGAUAUUUAUCUUUUUCUUAAUGAAUGGUAAGAGUUCUUUGCAUAUUUGAGAUCAGAUUAAACAAUUAUCUCUCAUAUAUGCUUUCCCUUUCUUCAGUUUUCUUUUAAUGGUCUUUCUGGUACUUAAAUUUUUAAUCUUCAUAUAUUCAAAUUUAUCAAUCUUUUCUUUUAUGAUUUCUGAGUAUCCCAGCAUGUUUAGAAGGAAAGUCCCUAACUUAAGAUGACCAAAAUAGUCAUUCAUAUUUAUUCAUUUGUAUUCAUGAAUACUCUGUAGUCUUCAGGGCUUGGUCUUAUUGGAGUAAGACAGAAAACCAGCUUGCGUUGUAAUGGCUGGCCCAUGCCAGCACCAUUUAUAAAAUAGCCUAUAUUAGGGAUGCCUGGGUGGCUUAGUUGGUUAAAAUAGCCCAUAUUUUCCCAACUCGAUAGAAAUACCAUUUUAUCAUACACAAAAUUCCCUUAAAUACUUGUAUCUUUUCCAAGCUCUGUAUUCUGUCCCAGUGAUCUAUGCUUACAUAAGAAGUUUAAUUAUUGUCCCUUUAUAAAACAUUUUAAUACCUGAGAGGGUAAAUAUUCAUCAUUUUUCUUUUCAAAAAUUUCCCUUAGCUACUCUACUUUUUUACUUUUUCAGAUUAGCUUUAUAUUAUUUUUGAUAAAUUUUUAAAAAUCCUGUUGGAGUAUUGAUUGGAUUAUCUUAAUUUUGUACAUUCACUUAAGGAGCAUGGACAGACUUAUGGCAUUAAAUCUUUUCACCCAAGAACUAGGGAUAAUUAUCCAAGUUUCUUUUCUUUAUUUUUUUUUUAAGAUUUUAUUUAUUUAUUUGUCAGAGAGAGAGCGAGAGCGAGCACAGGCAGACAGAGUGGCAGGCAGAGUCAGAGGGGGAAGCAGCCUCCCUGCGGAGCAAGGAGCCCGAUGUGGGACUCGAUCCCAUGAUGCUGGGAUGAUGACCUGAGCUGAAGGCAGCUGCUUAACCAACUGAGCCACCCAGGCGUCCCUCCAAGUUUCUUUUCUAUCCCUCAGGAGGUCUUUCUGCUUUUCCUCAUGCAAAUUCUACAUGUUUCUUAUAAAGUUUAUUUCCAGACAUUUUGUGUUAUUAUUUUCUUCUUCAUGGUAUGGACAAGGCCUUUUAUUUUACCUUCUAGGUAGUCAUUUUGUAAAUAGAAAAGCUAUUAGUUUUUGUAUAUUGUUUUGUUACUGGCCAUUUUACUAAACUUUAUUUUUUCUGUCUGUUUUCAGGAAAUUGUCUUGGGUUUUCCAGAUAAAUAAUCAUCUUAUCUGCAAACUAGAAUUAUUUUCUCUCCUCUUCCAAUAUGUAUCUUUUUUAUUUCUUGUCUAAUUAUAAUGCCUAGCAGUUUAGGGAAAGUGUUUUUUAAAAUACUGAUAACAACAGCUGCUAUGGUCUAGUUUCUAACUUUAAUAAGAAUAUAUCUAGGGUUUCACCAACCUAAUGUCUCCUGUGAAUCCUUUCUACUCCUGUGACCACUAUCCUGGUCCAGCCUGUAUUAAUUUGUCAUCUGUGUCAUCACAAACGGGAUGAACAAGGGUACAGGCUUUGAAGUCAGAUGACCUGGGUUCAGGUCCUGACGGUCAUUUAGCAACCAGACAAUCUUGUUAAGUUAUUCAAGAUCAUUGAAAUUCCAAAAAAGGAGGGGGGAAGUUGUGAGGACUAAGUUAGAUAAUCCACACGCUAUGUGCAAUAUCUGUAAAUGAUGAUAUUUUUAGGUCUUUGCCCCCAACUCCUCCUUCCAAUCCUACCCCUAUUCCAUUCUUAGGUUGACCUUCCCAAUACCACUGGGCUCAUAGCACUCUACCACACCCUCCCCUGCUCACAAGACUGCAAUUAUCCCUCACUGCCUACAGAAUGAAGGCCCAAACUCUAAACUCGUGUCUGAGAUCUUCCAUUAUUCAACUCCAACUAUCUUCCAGCCUGACUUCCUAUAACCCCAUACCACCCCCUCAUCACACAUCCCUCCCAAACCUUUACUCCAUCCUAGAUGUUCUCCUCACUAAUGGCUGCCUAAUACCACACAGGUCCUCACUCUACACUCAGAUCCCUGUAUCAGCAUUUAUAUGUAUCACAAGUACUACAAAAUUAAAAUCUAAAUGGAUUUAAUAAAGUAGAUUUAGCAGCUCACUUAAUAGAAUAGUCCAGAUGCAACAGCCUUCAGGCACAGUUUGAUCAGGGCUGGAGCAACAUUUUUCUGUGAUGUUUCAGGCUCUUCCCACCUCCAUAUGUUUAUAAUAGUCUCCGGUUGUGUUCCCAGUCACCAGAUGCCUGCCAGGAAUUAGAUCCACAAGCUACCUCAUUCAAAUCCAGAUAGAGAGAUUGGAUGUCUUUCUCUAGUCAUCUAACAAAAAUUCUGGCCUUCAUCUCACUGGGCCAAUAUAAACCAAUCCUUGUGACUGUGUGUUGACUGGUGUAGAAACAACCUGUGUGCCAAAAAUGGGUCUGGGGGAGAAGGAUUAUCUUGAUUGCCGCCCAGGACUCCCCUCCAGAGCCACACAACCAUUGGAUAUGGGUCAGGGGUCAAUGACCUCAACUGCAUUACAACCUCUUCUGCCUCACUCUCCUGGGACUCGGGCUUCCUUUAAAGCCCCAGAGUUCUGAUAAUGUGCCCAAUCCCUUUUAGUUCCCAGACUCUCUGCUCAACACAUGGUAAGCACGGCCAUAUAGAAUUUAUUUAUAGAGUCAUUUGUCUGUUCUUCCCAAUUAGUAAUCACAGAACUGAUUAAUAAAGUCUACGAAACACUUUAUACAAGGUAGCCCUUUCGACCUUCACAACAACCCUCUGAGACUCAGAGAGCUUAAGUGACUUGCCCUGUGUCACAAAGCCAGAAAUGAUGUUGCCCCAAAUGCCACUGCAGUAAGCUUGCUCUCCCUCUCUCUCACACAGACAUGCACCCCCACACACUCUGUCCUCUAACCACCCACUCAGGCCCAACCCAAAGAUGCAAAAACCCAACCCCCUGGCACGACCUCCUUUUUCCCACUUCACCCCAAUUUCUAGAGCUCUUAGACUUCCUCCAAAAAGUACAAAGAAAGUUUUCUUGCCAGACAGCAGUUUCUAAGAUUUGUGUGACAAGGCUGGGUACAAUUCAAAUGACUCUGGGUGAUUUAAUCUGCUUGGGGCUGGGGUGGUAAAUCAGUGCAGCCCAGGCUGCCACAGCCGUCCCAGAAACCCAUGAGCCGAGCUGCUGGUAGGCGUUUAUCUGCAGAUCUGCAGGUGAGGGGCCUGGAAGCGUGAACCGCGGCCCAGGGAGUUCCCCUCUGCUGCACUCGGAAUACAUCUGGAGGGUCCUACGACCCACAGCCUCUUCCCGGCCUACAUGUUCCACCAGGAAAUAGCUUUCCCAAGGAUGCGGCCCCGACUCCUCUUCUCACCUCCCCGCUG